rnacentral:rRNA from 1 species
ACGCUCGACACCUACGGGAGGCUGCAGUGGGGAAUAUUGCACAAUGGGGGAAACCCUGAUGCAGCGACGCCGCGUGAAGGAAGAAGUAUCUCGGUAUGUAAACUUCUAUCAGCAGGGAAGAAAAUGACGGUACCUGACUAAGAAGCCCCGGCUAACUACGUGCCAUCAGCCGCGGUAAUCUGAGCGGGCUGGCAAGGC